CGGUGAAUACGUUCCCGGACCUUGCACACACCGCCCGUCAAGCCAUGGAAGCUGGGUGUACCUAAAGUCGGUAACUGUAAGGAGCCGCCUAGGGUAAAACUAGUAACUGGGGCU
rnacentral:rRNA from 1 species